AUUGAACGCUGGCGGCAUGCCUUACACAUGCAAGUCGAACGGUAACGGGCCUUCGGGUGCCGACGAGUGGCGAACGGGUGAGUAAUGUAUCGGAACGUACCUUUCAGUGGGGGAUAACGUAGCGAAAGUUACGCUAAUACCGCAUAUUCUGUGAGCAGGAAAGCAGGGGAUCGCAAGACCUUGCGCUGAUUGAGCGGCCGAUAUCAGAUUAGCUAGUUGGUGAGGUAAAGGCUCACCAAGGCGAUGAUAGAUAGGCGGCCUUAACGGGUGGUCGCCCACACUGGGAUUGAGAUACGGCCCAGACUCCUACGGGAGGCAGCAGUCGAGAAUAGUCUACAAUGGCCGGAAGGCUGAUAGUGCGACGCCGCGUGAACGAGGGAGCCCUUCGGGGUGUAAAGUUCUUUUCUAUACGAGCAGUGCUAUAUAUAUGGAUAGUAUAUAUAGAGGGAUAGUAGUAUAGGAAUAAGCAACGGCUAACUCCGUGCCAGCACG
rnacentral:rRNA from 1 species